AACGAACGCUGGCGGCAUGCCUAACACAUGCCAGUCGAACGAGACCUUCGGGUCUAGUGGCGCACGGGUGGGUAACGCGUGGGAACCUGCCCUUAGGUUCGGAAUAACUCCCCGAAAGGGGUGCUAAUACCGGAUAAUGUCUUCGGACCAAAGAUUUAUCGCCUUUGGGUGGGGCCGGGUUGGAUUAGCUGGUUGGUAGGGGAAAAGCCUACCAAGGCGAGAAUGCAUAGCUGGUCUGAGAGCAUGGUCAGCCACACUGGGUCUGAGACACGGCCCAGACUCCUACGGGAGGCAGCAGUGGGGAAUAUUGGACAAUGGGCGAAAGCCUGAUCCAGCAAUGCCGCGUGAGUGAUGAAGGCCGUAGGGUUGUAAAGCUCUUUUACCCGGGAUGAUAAUGACGGUACCGGGAGAAUAAGCUCCGGCUAACUCCGUG
rnacentral:rRNA from 1 species